GUCAUAUAUGAUGGGAACUGCCUUUCUGUAUGUGUGAUAUCCUUUAAACUGGAGAGUGUCAGAGGUUAGAAGAGAUCAUAGAGAGUGGGAUCAACACGUGAGUCAAAACCAAGCUGGAGGCCUUCUCCUCUGGGGUUGAAAACAGAGAUUUACCCCACGACACGGCAGGUUUAAAGCUCCCUGUGGUGGAGGGUCGGGCCUCUGACUCCAGUAUGGGGACUGACCCUCAACCAGUAACCAGAGGCCUCAGGGACCAGUCCGUCCUCCUGUAGACUUGGAUUAGAGGAACACAGGAUGGAGUCAGGACACCCUGGGGGGAGUAAGGAACUACAGCCACUUCCUGUCCACAGGUUACUUUCACUUUGUGAACUCGUCGUGUCGCAGCUUCUUCUUCUGUCCAUGUGAAGUGUUUCCUCUACAGAUGAAGGUAGAAAGUCUCUGGGAGCUGAUGUGGAUGUGAAUUCAGCAGCAGCUGCCAAGGUAACAGGAUUGAUUUUGGAUUAUUGGACUAGCUGCCACUGCAUGCUCUGACUGGAUAUAGUAGACUUGGAAAAAGAGCAACAUUUCAACUGUUGAGGAGCUUUUCAAAAUACUGCAGCUCAAAGUG